AACGUUCUAUGGCCAUUCAAAUAUUCAAUCAUUGUCCGUAACUACAACGUUCAGUCUACAGCUUAAUGGCGCAAAACCGUACUUCGAUUGUUGUUUGUUGUUAAAUGCCUACGAUGAUAAUACGAACAAGAUAUGAACAAUUGAACAAUAAGAACCAUCGGUAAUUCAUUAAUGCGCAAUGGAGUCAUCGGUACCCAAUAGUAGUACGAGUUCAACUAAAUUUGUUGCAUUAAAUUAUGAAAUGGAUAGUUCCAAUGAAGAUAUUGGUAAGUUAUUUUUAAGACUUAGAAUAUAGGUAGGUUAUAUUUCUACCAAAACUAUUUUUAUGGCUCACAUUUUGAAACAAUCACAAAUUUUUUUGCUAUUUAACUUAGGUAUAUUAUAUGUUUUUCACCCAUAUAUAUUAUAAUACGCUAUUUCUUCAGUAGGAUUUUUAUUAUAGCUUUUUAAUUUUGAACUUCUAUUUAUUGGUGAAUUUUACAAAUAUCCUACUUUUUAUGAAUUUAUAUAAUUUCUAAAUUCAUAUUUUAUGUUUAUUUAAAAAUUAACAUAUUGACAAUUAUUUGUA